rnacentral:rRNA from 1 species
UACAGAGGUCUCAAGCGUUGUUCGGAUUCAUUGGGCGUAAAGGGUGCGUAGGUGGCGCGGUAAGUCGGGUGUGAAAUUUCGGAGCUUAACUCCGAAACUGCAUUCGAUACUGCCGUGCUUGAGGACUGGAGAGGAGACUGGAAUUUACGGUGUAGCAGUGAAAUGCGUAGAUAUCGUAAGGAAGACCAGUGGCGAAGGCGGGUCUCUGGACAGUUCCUGACGCUGAGGCACGAAAGCGUGGGGAGCAAACAGG